rnacentral:rRNA from 1 species
CGGUUGAUCCUGCCAGAGGUUACUGCUAUCGGGGUUCGAUUAAGCCAUGCAAGUUAAAUGUUUUUCGUAAACAUAGCGAACUGCUCAGUAACACGUGGAUAACUUAACCUUAGGUCCGGCAUAACCCCGGGAAACUGGGGAUAAUUCCGGAUGUAUCAAGGAUGCUGGAAUGCCCUUUGGUUCAAAGCUUUUGUGCCUAAGGAUAGGUCUGCGGUCUAUCAGGUUGUAGUGGGUGUAACGUACCUACUAGCCGACGACGGAUACGGGUUGUGAGAGCAAGAGCCCGGAGAUGGAUUCUGAGACAAGAAUCCAGGCCCUACGGGGUGCAGCAGGCGCGAACACUUUACAAUGCGGGAAACCGCGAUAAGGGAACCCCGAGUGCCAGUACUAAGUGCUGGCUGUCUAGAUGAAUAGAUAUCAUUUAAUAGCAAGGGCCGGGCAAGACCGGUGCCAGCCGCCGCGGUAACACCGGCGGCCCGAGUGGUAACCGAUAUUAUUGGGUCUAAAGGGUCCGUAGCCUGUUUAAUAAGUCCUUUGGGAAAUCUGGCAGCUUAACUGUCAGGCUGCUAAAGGAUACUGUUAAACUUGGGACCGGUAGACGUAGGGGGUACUCCAGGGGUAGGAGUGAAAUCUUGUAAUCCCUGGGGGACCAUCUGUGGCGAAGGCGCCCUACGAGAACGGGUCCGACGGUGAGGGACGAAAGCUAGGGGAGCAAACCGGAUUAGAUACCCGGGUAGUCCUAGCUGUAAACGAUGCUCGCUAGGUGUCAGGCACGGUGCGUCCGUGUCUGGUGCCGCAGGGAAGCCGUUAAGCGAGCCACCUGGGGAGUACGGUCGCAAGGCUGAAACUUAAAGGAAUUGGCGGGGGAGCACUACAACGGGUGGAGCCUGCGGUUUAAUUGGAUUCAACGCCGGA